rnacentral:rRNA from 1 species
AAGCUUGCUUCUUUGCUGGCGACCGGCGCACGGGUGAGUAACACGUAUCCAACCUACCCUUUACUCGGGGAUAGCCUUUCGAAGGAAAGAUUAAUACCCGAUAGCAUAAUGAUUCCGCAUGGUUUCAUUAUUAAAGGAUUCCGGUAAAGGAUGGGGAUGCGUUCCAUUAGGUUGUUGGUGGGGUAACGGCCCACCAAGCCUUCGAUGGAUAGGGGUUCUGAGAGGAAGGUCCCCCACAUUGGAACUGAGACACGGUCCAAACUCCUACGGGAGGCAGCAUG